AAGUCGUAACAAGGUUUCCGUAGGUCAAGUUUUGCCUACUGCAGCAGCGCGCGACCGCUGCUAGUUGACGUCCCGUCAGCGACACGCUCAAUAUGCGGAAAGGCCCUCUCGCGAGGGAAAUCCGCAGCCCGCCUCCCUUACCCGGAGGUCGGUUCAGAGACUCGAUGAGCGUGGGUUUGGCUGCGGCCAAGCUUGAGAUAGAGCCCGUCCCUGCUGGAAACUGCGGGGAGCUAGCGGAACCUGCGGAAGGAUCAUUAAAGAAUACAGGCUUCACAGCCAAUAUUCUCACCCAUUGUUUAC
rnacentral:misc_RNA from 1 species